rnacentral:rRNA from 1 species
CACCGCGGUUAUACGAGUGACUCACAUUAAUAUUUCCUCGGCGUAAAGAGUGAUUUAAGAAAUAUCUAUAGUGAUUAAAGUUAAGACCUCGUCAAACUGUUAUACGUACCCACGAGUGGAACCAUCAACAACGAAAGUGACUUUAUCCAUCUAGAAAACUUGACGUCACGACAGUUAGACCU